AGGACGAACGCUGGCGGCGCGCUUAACACAUGCAAGUCACGGGGGCCCGCAAGGGUAACCGGCGAACGGGUGCGUAACACGUGAGCAACCUGCCUAGAUGUGGGGGAUAGCCGGCCCAACGGCCGGGUAAUACCGCAUACGGUCACGAGGAGGAGUCUCCUUGUGAAGAAACCUCCGGGGCAUUUAGAGGGGCUCGCGGCCUAUCAGCUAGUUGGCGGGGUAAUGGCCCACCAAGGCUUCGACGGGUAGCUGGUCUGAGAGGAUGGACAGCCACAUUGGGACUGAGAGACGGCCCAGACUCCUACGGGAGGCAGCAGUGGGAAUCUUGCGCAAUGGCCGAAAGGCUGACGCAGCGACGCCGCGUGUGGGAGGACGCCCUUCGGGGUGUAAACCACUGUUGCCCGGGACGAACAUCCACUUUCGAGUGGACUGACGGUACCGGUGAGGAAGCACCGGCUAACUCCGCGCCAGCAGCCGC
rnacentral:rRNA from 1 species